rnacentral:rRNA from 1 species
UACGUAGGGUGCGAGCGUUAAUCGGAAUUACUGGGCGUAAAGCGUGCGCAGGCGGUUGUGCAAGCCAGAGGUGAAAUCCCCGGGCUUAACCUGGGAAUGGCCUUUGGGACUGCACGGCUAGAGUGUGGCAGAGGGGGGUAGAAUUCCACGUGUAGCAGUGAAAUGCGUAGAGAUGUGGAGGAAUACCGAUGGCGAAGGCAGCCCCCUGGGAUAACACUGACGCUCAUGCACGAAAGCGUGGGGAGCAAACAGG